GGAGCGAAGUCUUUGAUUCCCCGCUGCCAAGAAAAGCUUCUAGCGAGAUAAAAGGUGCCUGUACCGCAAACCGACACAGGUAGGCGAGGAGAGAAUCCUAAGGUGUGCGAGAGAACUCUGGUUAAGGAACUCGGCAAAAUGACCCCGUAACUUCGGGAGAAGGGGUGCUUUCUUAACGGAAAGCCGCAGUGAAUAGGCCCAAGCGACUGUUUAGCAAAAACACAGCUCUCUGCGAAGCCGUAAGGCGAAGUAUAGGGGGUGACACCUGCCCGGUGCUGGAAGGUUAAGGAGAGGGGUUAGCGUAAGCGAAGCUCUGAACUGAAGCCCCAGUAAACGGCGGCCGUAACUAUAACGGUCCUAAGGUAGCGAAAUUCCUUGUCGGGUAAGUUCCGACCCGCACGAAAGGUGUAACGAUUUGGGCACUGUCUCAACCAGAGACUCGGUGAAAUUAUAGUACCUGUGAAGAUGCAGGUUACCCGCGACAGGACGGAAAGACCCCGUGGAGCUUUACUGUAGC
rnacentral:rRNA from 1 species